GAUGAACGCUGGCGGUAUGCCUAACACAUGCAAGUCGUACGAGAGUUUUUAACUCUAGUGGCGGACGGGUGAGUAACACGUGAGAAUUUGCCUUUAGGAGGGGGAUAACAAUUGGAAACGAAUGCUAAUACCCCAUAUGCUUUUGAGUGAAAUGGAUUUUAUCCGCCUAGAGAGAAGCUCGCGGCUGAUUAGCUUGUUGGUAAGGUAAGAGCUUACCAAGGCGACGAUCAGUAUCUGGUUUGAGAGGACGAUCAGACACACUGGAACUGAGGCACGGUCCAGACUCCUACGGGAGGCAGCAGUGGGGAAUUUUCCGCAAUGGGCGAAAGCCUGACGGAGCAAUACCGCGUGAGGGAAGAAUGCCUAUGGGUUGUAAACCUCUUUUUCAGGGAGGAACAAAAUGACGUGUACCUGAAGAAUAAGCAUCGGCUAACUCCGUG
rnacentral:rRNA from 1 species